CUUCAGUUUCAUGGUGAUUUGCAACAUAAUUUCAUGAAAAUGGGAAAACUUAAAGUUUAUGUUGUGGUCUGAUGAGUUAUGGUCAUACUGAUGAUUAUUUUCCAUUUGAAGGCCUUAUUUUUUUCUUUUUUCCUUCUCGAUUGUCAUUCCAGUUAAUUCUGAAAGUUUUACCAAAUUUAGUUGCCAUAACUACUCUCUCCAUCAACUCUCCGAACACACACACAGGCACACAUAGAGAGGCCCUUAAAACCCCUUGACCCCUAACCAUGAUCAGAUAUGGAUUGCUAAUCCCUUUAGUGAUUUAACAGCUAUUCUCAUUCAAAUUCGUCCAGUGAGUUUUCUGCAAUCUAAUAUUUUAGAGCUGCAUUUUGAGAGAAACACACACACACAAAGAGAGAGAGCGAG
rnacentral:misc_RNA from 1 species